rnacentral:sRNA from 1 species
UUGUCGAAUGUCUGCUAUGUGGUUGGAGACCCUGGGAUAGGCACUGAUAAUGGGAUAAAUAGGACCAAUGUCUCCCCUCAAAGAAUUCAAAGUUAAACCAGGUUAAGCCAAUGAGGGAAUUUUAAUAUGAAAAGUGCUAUACAUAGGCUUUCCCACCCCAAGGUUGUUGGAGAGGCAGUGGAGGAAGAGCUGAUUAUAUAAGCUUAAACAAGAAAAACAAGUUAGAGUUAGCCUGAUAAAAAGAGGGACAGGAGGGGCAUAGAAAGAGUAUUUUGUGUGGAAACUACAACUUAUACAAGAGCCCAGAGGCAAAAGAGAGUUUGAUAUGUCCAGGGAAACUGCAAGUCCUUCAGUAUGGCUGAAUCAUGGAGUACUGUUGAGGAAUAGUGAGAGAUGAGGCUAGAGAAAGAAGGAUGAAGAAAAUCAUGAAGGACCUCUGGGCUUUAUCCUGGGGGGUAGUUGGGAGCCAUUGAGGAAUUCUAAACAUCAGAGGGAACACCAUUAGAUUUUCACUUAAGGCAGAUGAUUGGAUGCAAUGUGUGAAGCAUGGAUUGAAGAGGGAACUCGUGAGGUGCCCAGUAUUUGGAAAAGGUGUUAAGGAAAAUUAGAGUGAGAAGCUACAGAGAAUUGAGACAAGGAAAGGGUAUUUGACCUUGGUCUUGAAAAAGAAGAGGACCUAGAUCAAAUGGGGAAAAAGGAAACCCUUUGGAAUAGAUUCUAAGAAGUGUGAGCAAAGGUACGUGGCAUAUUCCCAGUGUAGAUUAAUGGAGCAGUGGAUCCCUGGGGAAAGUCUAGUUGGGGAUAAAACUGGAGAGGUUAAGAAUUUGAUCCAUGGCAAAUUCCACCAUUUUAGAGCAAAAUGUCACGUCUGCAAGGUCAUAUUAUAUGAUUCUGACUCUGGCGACAGCAUUCAUGAGGGCUAGAGUGGUUAGCAACUGGAGGGAGGCAUGUUAAGAUUUCAGAGUAGUAAUUUAACCCGAAUCUUGGUAAAUCUGGCUUUGGUUUCCAUACAUAAAUGCAUCAACUUAUUAUCUUACAACAUUUUAAAGCUUCUUUGCUUCAAUUUGCCUUAUUUCUAACAUUUAAAGUGCUUUUAUGUGAAACAUUCUGGGAACUUUAAACAUACUUAAUAUUCCACAGAAUCUUGGUUUCACCUUUUCCCUCCUCGUUCUCUGAGAGACCUAUGUCAUUCUGACCCCGAACAAUAUUAAGAACUAUGCAUAUGGCUAUUGUCUUGCACACUCCCUUAGAAUAUUCAAGUAGUAUUUGUUUAUGUGCCUUUUAUUGAUUAAAUUUGUAGUUACUAGAAAAAUUAGAAAGUACAGUUAAAACCUAAAGAAGAAAGUCUAUAAAACCACUAACAUAUCAUUACAUAUUCUAGAUUAUUUUCUACAUGCAUAUAUACAUACAUUUAACAAAAAGGGGUCAUAUUUUUGUAAACAACUUUGUAAUUUAAUGACUAGUUUUCUGUGCUAAUAAAUUCCUCAGUAUCCUCUGAAUAAUAGACUAGGGAGGGUGGGAUGAAGAAUAGCAAAAUCUUACAGAAUAAUUAAAUUUUGCCACCUUCGUAUUUUUGUCAGCUUCAGUAUCAGACACGGCACAGCAGCCAUCUGAAGAGCAAAGCAAGUCUCUUGAAAAACCGAAACAAAAAAAGAAUCGCUGUUUCAUGUGCAGGAAGAAAGUGGGACUUACUGGGUUUGAAUGCCGGUGUGGAAAUGUUUACUGUGGUGUACACCGUUACUCAGAUGUACACAAUUGCUCUUACAAUUACAAAGCCGAUGCUGCUGAGAAAAUCAGAAAAGAAAAUCCAGUAGUUGUUGGCGAAAAGAUCCAAAAGAUUUGAACUCCUGCUGGAAUACAAAAUUCUUGAGCAUCUGCAAACUAAAAAUUGACUUGAGGUUUUUUUUUUCCUAGUCAUUGGGAAUGUAGAGCAGUGUAUCUUGCAUGUCAUCGGAAGAAUAGAUUUUUGUUUCGGUUUUGUUUUGGUUUUGUUUUGAAAAUGACUCUGAACAUUUAUUUCCAUUGCAAUUUCUGUGGCUGAGAAGACUUAAACUUUACAAGUAUUAUCCUUUUAAGAUCAUUUUAAUUUUAGUUGAGUGCAGAGGGCUUUUAUAACAAACGUGCAGAAAUUUUGGAGGGCUGUGAUUUUUCCAGUAUUAAACAUGCAUGCAUUAAUCUUGCAGUUUAUUUUCUCAUUGUGUAUGUAUAUAUCGCUUUUCUCUGCAGCACGAUUUCUCUUUUGAUAAUGCCCUUUAGGGCACAACUAGUUAUCAGUAACUGAAUGUAUCUUAAUCAUUAUGGCUGCUUCUGUUUUUUCAUUAACAAAGGUUAUUCAUAUGUUAGCAUAUAGUUUCUUUGCACCCACUAUUUAUGUCUGAAUCAUUUGUCACAAGAGAGUAUGUGCUGAUGAGAUUGUAAGUUUGUGUGUUUAAACUUUUUUUUGAGCGAGGGAAGAAAAAGCUGUAUGCAUUUCAUUGCUGUCUACAGGUUUCUUUCAGAUUAUGUUCAUGGGUUUGUGUGUAUACAAUAUGAAGAAUGAUCUGAAGUAAUUGUGCUGUAUUUAUGUUUAUUCACCAGUCUUUGAUUAAAUAAAAAGGAAAACCAG